rnacentral:misc_RNA from 1 species
AGCUGGAUCAUUUUUCCGAAUGAACAAAAAAACAAAACAAAAAAAUGGAACUGCACGCAGUUCAAGGGAGGAGGGAAAACGCUCUGCGGCUCUCUCGCUCUCACAAAACCCAAACAGCAGCGAGAAGCUUGUGUCAAAAAAAACGCUCUCCACGCCGAACAUUUUGGGGCACACUUCAAAUUACAACGUGCAUUCAUUUGCGCGCUUUUUGUUGCUGUGUCCUUUUCUUGGCGGAGAGGCUUCACCUGCCCCACCAUACUCAAGGAAGGGAAACACUGUUUUCUCUUGGGUGGCAUCCAAAACGUGUCGCGAUGGAUGACUUGGCUUCCCAUAUCUGUGAAGAACGCAGCAAAGUGCGAUAAGUGGUAUGUAUUGCAGAAUCAUUCCAUUACUGAAUCUUUGAACGCAAAUGGCGCUCGGGAGAAGGUUUUUAUAACCCAUCCCCGUGCAUGCCGUAUCUCUCAGUGUCGAAAAAAAAUAUCCAAAACCCAAAAGAAUUCAUUUUCCUUUGGUGUUUUACGAUUUCUCGAAGUUGUGGGUUGUAUUUAUUUCAAUCAACAAUUCGGGGCUCUUUGGCGUUUUCCCCGUCCAACGGGAAAAAAUAAAGCGCUCAAAGCAACAGGCAAAGGGCUUCGGCCUUUCUGCCGUCCAAAAUAUUGCGAUUUUGACCGGUCUACAAACCGAAAACAAAUCAACGCGAUUUUGUUCUUCAAAACAAACGUUUGUACUCUUCGGGCAAUUUCACCAAAAACAAUGUUUUGGGUUGAAACAAUACAGAAGAAAAGACGCGCACUUCUUUGUGUGUGUCUCUUUUUUCACUGACCUGAGUGCGGCAGGACCACCCGCCGAACUUAAGCAUAUUACUCAGCGGAGGAAAAGAAAACAACCGUGAUUCCCCUAGUUAGCGGCGAGCGAACAGGGAACGAACUCGAUGCCGAAUCGGGCUUCAAAGCCUUGAGUUGUGGCACAAACCGUCUCGUGACUGGUCAAGGGGGUGGCAAAAUUCAACGUGCAAAGCAAACCCAUUGUUGAAUACAACCCUUCAUGUGAGUAUUGAGCCAAAGGAGGUGAAAGCCCACUCGAGCCACCAAAACAACCCUAAGCCUCAUUAGAUGGUUUACAGAGAGUAGCACUGUUUGGGAAUGCAGUGUCAAUAGGCAGGUAUGUGUCUGCCAAAGUUAAAUACAAAAUGGGAAGACCGAUAGCAAACAAGUAGUGUGAACGAAAGUUUGAAAAGCACUUUGGAAAGAGAGUGACAUAGAACCUGAAGUCGUGACAAUGACAAUGAAUGUGCCUCCAUUUUUGUCAAGCUCAGCCCUGCAGCAUUAUCCGGCAUUCCGCCUUCACGGGUGACUUUGUCGGGCAAACAAGUGUUGAAUUGGGGACUGGGGGAAAGAGCUGGGGUAAAGGUGCGAGUUCUGCCUAGCAGUGAACCGUACUCUUCCCGGCAGACUCAAAAAAUUGACGCUCUGGAAAUGGGGUACCUUCACCCGUCUUGAAACACGGACCAAGGAGUCAAACAGACACGCAAGAGGGAAGAUAUUGUUGCCAGUACUUCUCUCGAACUGAAAGGGAAUGCAUUUGCAUUGGUGUGCACACAAGAACUGCCCAACACCGACCGCCUUCUUCGGAGGGUGAGUCCGAGUGUGCCUGUUUGGACCCGAAAGGUGGUGAACUAUGCCUGAACAAGAUGAAGUCCGGGGAAACUCGGAUGGAGGUCUGUAGCGGUGCUGACGUGCAAAUCGCUCGCAUGAUUUGGGUAUCGGAGCGAAAGACUCAUCGAACCACCUAGUAGCUGGUUCACAU